AGAGUGGAUGGUGCUCUGUGCUGGCUGCUGGGACUCCAACAAGACAAGGCCCUGAGACAAACUGUGUUUGACUCGGCCGGAGGGCUGAGUCACCGAAGACCCACCACAAACAGAGAGAGAGAGAAUGCAAGCACACACACUUGGCCAGGGGGCGCUCGUGAGCGAAGGGUGAGACUCCUGAGCACCAGAGAAUGAGUUUUCCCAUCAGCUGGACUAGCUCCAGGAACACAUGAGGAUGAGCACGAAUCUCACCAUGUCCAGAGCAAAGUGCAAAGAUCACUAUCUUGAGACAGACCACAACUGGAGCGGUUCUAGCAGGGAUUGUAUUUCAAGAGGUACAACCCCUCCCAGAGCUUCUGGGAGAGCAGGACACUGUCUUGGGGUAAUGGCCUCUAAGUGAAAGGUCUUUGGAGCCAGGACCUUGUCAUCAUGCAUUUGUUUGAUCGUGCAUUUUUGGCACUGCAGAAAUAAUAAAUAAAGGCAAAAAUAAUGAAUCAAUGAACUUCAUUUUCAGCCUCUUCUUAAUCUCUUGCUGAAAUAUGCAUCCUGUUUCCAGGCCUAUGUCCAUGGUAAUUAACACAAACAAGCAGCAAAAAAAAAAAAAACCAAAGAGGGGGGCAGGAUUGGGUGGAGAACAAAAACAGAACAUGGAAGACAUAAUAACAGAACUGCCUCUAAACAGAAUUUAUCCCCAAAUGUACAUCAG